rnacentral:rRNA from 1 species
GCGAACGCUGGCGGCGUGCUUAACACAUGCAAGUCGAACGGGAUUUAGUAGACAGAAGCCUCGGUGGAAGAUUACUAAUGAGAGUGGCGAACGGGUGAGUAACGCGUGAGCAACCUGCCUAUGACAGUGGGAUAGCCUCGGGAAACCGGGAUUAAUACCGCAUAAAAUCGUAGAAACACAUGUUUCAACGGUCAAAGAUUUAUCGGUCAUAGAUGGGCUCGCGUCUGAUUAGCUAGUUGGUGAGAUAACAGCCCACCAAGGCGACGAUCAGUAGCCG